rnacentral:rRNA from 1 species
UACGUAGGUGGCAAGCGUUGUCCGGAAUCAUUGGGCGUAAAGCGCGUGUAGGCGGCCAGGUAAGUCCGUUCUGAAAGCCCGGGGCUCAACCCCGGGAGGCGGAUGGAUACUGCUUGGCUCGAGUCCGGAAGAGGCGAGUGGAAUUCCCGGUGUAGCGGUGAAAUGCGCAGAUAUCGGGAGGAACACCAAUGGCGAAGGCAGCUCGCUGGGACGGUACUGACGCUGAGACGCGAAAGCGUGGGGAGCAAACAGG